rnacentral:lncRNA from 1 species
UUUUUUUUUUUUUUUUUGAGAUGGAGUCUUGCUCUGUCACCCAGGAUGGAGUGCAGUGGCGAGAUCUCAGCUCACUGCAAGCUCCGCCUCCCUGGUUCAUGCCAUUCUCCUGCCUCAACCUCCCGAGUAGCUGGGACUACAGGCACCCACCACCAUGCCUGGCUAAUUUUUUGUAUUUUUAGUAGAGACGGGGUUUCACCGUGUUAGCCAGGAUGGCUUCAAUCUCCUGACCUCGUGAUCCGCCCGCUUCAGCCUCCCAAAGUGCUGGGAUUACAGGCAUGAGCCACAGUGCCCUGCCCCAAUCCACUCUUUUAUCCCACUUAAAAGGAACUUGAGAAAACACAAGAACAUGGUUUCUUCUGUACAGAGCUUGGCAAAACUUGAGCAGAGACUGUGUGUGUCUACCUUGUGGUCUUCAGUUCCUAAGUGAAUUCCUUUUCUUAUCUUUUGCAACCAGGAAAUUAUUUCCUCCCAUCAAACUUCUCUCUUCUUUUAGCUCUCUGCCUCCUGCAGAAGCACUGAACACCUGGGCAUAUCAAAGACUAUGAAGUCUCUCCUGUCUCCCUAGUACAUAUAUUUAACAUGUAGUCCAGCUAAUGAUAGUUGGACUUAAAAUCAGUAUUGUAAGUCUGGGGCUUGACUCCAGAGACAGUGCCAGGCAUAGCUGGGCUCAAAGGCUGUUUGUUGACUGAGAGAAUAGAUAAUGCCUAUUUGUUUCUGCUACUUCUGCCAGUGACCAGCUGUGGGGACUUGACCAAGUCAUUUAAUAUAUUCACCUCUGUCACUUUCCACACCCUGCCUUGUGGAUUAUGGUCACCUUCAGAGGGACUAUUCUUCCUGUAUGACCUGCAGGCCUAGCCAAGUCCGGGCAGGGAGCAAGGACUCGCCCACACUUGAGGUCAUGACUGCAUUUGGUCAAAAUUACCUCUUCUCUCAACAUCUGCAGUCAGCUCUGGGGUCAUUUACAGAUAAGCAAACACAUAAGCAUGCUGGAAGUUUUAUUCUCACCUGGUUAAGACUUCAGGCUCUGAAACCAGAAGAUUGCCUUGGUUUGAGUCCUUGCUCUGACACUUUUAGCUGGGAGUCUUUUGGCAAGUUACUUAACUUCUUUGAGCUUCAGUCUCAUCUGCAAAAUGAGGUAACAUAGGAAAAGCACUUAGAACUUUCCCACGCACAUAGUAAGUGGUCAGUGAAGACAAGCUAUUAUUACCUGCAACAGAAAAUUUAGGAAGAGAGACUUUAGGCAGCAGCAGUUUCUGUUCCAAGUCUCUUGAUGCCUUCAUUUUCUUAUGGUUGAGAGUUUUGAAAUAUGAAAGGGCUUCCAGACACCCAUUCCUCUGGGCACUAUUCUGGGUUUCAGAUUCUUAUCUCGCUCAGCUUUUGGGUCAGAGAGGAGGAAAGGAUGUCAGGGAUCACAAACUGGCAGCCAGUGAGCUGCAUGGGACCCCUGGACAUGCUGGGCUUGGCUCUUUUCAUUUGAAUUAAUAACCAAUAUUAAAAUUUACAUUCAAGAUUUCACUUAAAAAGUACUUCCAGCUUUUCUUGAAAGAUUUAACUGGGCUGGGACCUCAUCUCUACAUGGUGCCCACCAGCUAACAGCCCUUUUGGGUGUGCC